CUAAACCCUAACUUCAUUUCAUCCACAGCCGCUCCUCCUUCUUUCUCUCUCUGGUGAUUUUCAAUUUAGGGUUUCACGAGAUCUGUGGUAUGAGCAAGAUCUCACCAGAUCCAACAAUGGUGUGGUGAUCUCUGGCGAUAUAUGUGCUUCAGUUUUGUUAACCAUCUCCUUCCUUUCUCCAGGCGAUUCUAGGGUUUCUUUAUAAGUCGCUUCAAGAUCUACGCUUCCUCAGUGAUGAAUCUCUCUAGAUCCGACACUAGAGUCGACCGCUCGGUACCUUACUUUUUACCAUAUCUUUUUUUUUGUUAUUUGAAUCGGAUCUGUGUAAUAUUUCAGAUUACCUGGUGGUUGUGGUGGAAGAUGGUGGCGAUGACACAGAUCUACCGUUUGGUGGCCAGAUCUACCGUUUGAAGUUGAAGGUAUACAAGCUUUCUACCGGAUCUGUGUGUUCACUCGCGUGGCCGUCCAACUUUUUCAUUGUUCAGGUUCUUAGUGACUUCACCAAUAAAGUUCUAAUGACAUUGGUGGAAUUGGAGUGUAAAAAGAUCCAUAAAGAGGAGUGAAUGUCAAAUAUGAAACCAAAAACAACAAAAAAGGACACAAAGCUGGUGCUCUUCGUGAAGAUUACAAUAUGUGACCGAUUUGGAAGCUGUUGGGAAUUUUCUGGCCAUGAAAGAAAGAAGUUGGAGACUUAAUGGUGAUGAUUUUCUAAAGUGGCCAGGCUAUUUCAAAAAACUAAUGCUCGCAUUGGAUUUGAUUGCAACAUUAGAAAGGGGGUUAGCAGCCUAAAGGACUGGCAUGUCUAUCUGCAUUGGGAAGCACAGAAUUUUGCACGCGUUGUUCCGUCAUUGGGCCUGAGGGUGUAGCCCUUCUAUUGAAAAUGCUGAAAUACGACCCUGCUGACAGGAUUUCGGCUAAACAUGCUAUGGAUCAUCCUUAUUUCGACAGAGUUUAUCUCUAGGUGAAAAAAUAUAGGCGUUUGUACUGUUUCUCAAACCGACUUAAGCCAUAGGGUGAUUCUCAGGGGGUCAUUUGUGGGGAGGCCAUGAAAGUAGGGAGGACAUGAAAGUGGAGAGGACAUGAUAGAUUAAUUGAAUAAAUCAAGACGGGAGUACGGGACCAACAAAACUUGGAUUGAAAUUAUGAGCCAGCGCCUCUUGUUUUCACCUUUAUUUGCAGUACUCAAUUAUCGGUUCAAUAUUGACGAUUGGAGUAAGGGUAGGUGCUGUUAUGAGUGGGAAAUAGCUGAUCAACUUGGACGGAGAUGGACCAUGGGACUGUCUCAAAUGGGUUUGUUAGGGUGGUUUGCGAUAUUGAUGUGCAAAGACAAGUUUGUGGAAUACUGGGUAUCAUCCUUAUAUGGUUUCGGAUUCUCCCAUUUAGUUUUUGUCGCUGGAGUUAUGUACUUUGCAAUGCUAUUAAUUGGUUGGAAUUCUCAUUACACCAUGAAAAAGUGGACUAUUGAUGUUGGUUGGACAAGUACCUGGGUCAGAAUAGUAAAUGAGUGGCUAGCAGUCUGUGUUUACUUGUAGAUGCUGGUAGCACUGAUCGUGUGGAAAAGUCGGAAGGUAGCAGAAGAUCCCAAAUAAGCAAGCUGGAAGGAGACAAUCGUCACUGUGUAUGUUAACAUAAUUUAUACACAAUCACAUGAUAUAGAAGCCAGAGUGAUGACAAAGAAAUGGCAUCCAUGGAGUCUAAACAUGUCAAUUAUUGGAAGUCGACAUGCUUUUGAUCUUAUUCGUUUUAGUCAAAAACUAAAGAUGUGAGUAUAGCACCAAAGUACCAAACGACAUUGGACGUCUUACAGAUUUUUGUUUGUAUAUAAUCCUUGAUUUUAGAAUAAGAGGAACGUGAUUUGUCUCACAUAAAAAGGAAUAAAUGUUCAAAUUUUGUUCCCCUUUUUACCAAAUUGGAAUAAAUUUUCAUAUUUUACA